CCUACGGGAGGCAGCAGUGAGGAAUAUUGGUCAAUGGACGGGAGACUGAACCAGCCAAGCCGCGUGAGGGAUGAAGGUACAGAGUAUCGUAAACCUCUUUUGUCAGGGAACAAAGGCGGGGACGUGUCCCCGGAUGAGUGUACCUGAAGAAAAAGCAUCGGCUAACUCCGUGCCAGCAGCCGCGGUAAUACGGAGGAUGCGAGCGUUAUCCGGAUUUACUGGGUGUAAAGGGCGUGUAGGCGGGCAUGCAAGCCAGAAGUGAAAUCUGGGGGCUUAACCCCCAAACUGCUUUUGGAACUGCGUGUCUUGAGUGAUGGAGAGGCAGGCGGAAUUCCCAGUGUAGCGGUGAAAUGCGUAGAUAUUGGGAGGAACACCAGUGGCGAAGGCGGCCUGCUGGACAUUAACUGACGCUGAGGCGCGAAAGCGUGGGGAGCAAACAGGAUUAGAUACCCCUGUAGUC
rnacentral:rRNA from 1 species